GUUGAAACACUGGUUCUCAUAUGAACACCAAAGUUAACCAAUAUCCGCCCUUGUCAGUACCUCGAUGGGUGACCGCAUUGGAAUACAAGGUGCUGUAAG